rnacentral:rRNA from 1 species
UACGUAGGGAGCAAGCGUUGUCCGGAAUCAUUGGGCGUAAAGCGCGCGUAGGCGGCCCGAUAAGUCCGCUGUAAAAGUCAACGGCUCAACUGUUGAAAGCCGGUGGAUACUGUCGGGCUAGAGUACGGAAGAGGUAAGUGGAAUUCCAGGUGUAGCGGUGAAAUGCGUAGAUAUCUGGAGGAAUACCGGUGGCGAAGGCGGCAUCCUGGACCGACAUUGACGCUGAUGAGCGAAAGCUAGGGGAGCAAACGGG